AGAGUACGUGAAACCGUUCAGGGGUAAACCUGAGAAACCCGAAAGGUCGAAAGGGGAAAUUCAUUCGCGUUUCGGCCGUCGGCGUAGGAUGGUCGUGCGACGGACGGCGUUCGCGCGUCGUCCGCGUCCUCUUUCCUUCGAACCGGCGUCGAACGCGUGCACUUUUCCCCUAGUAGGACGUCGCGAUCCGUUGGGUGUCGGUCUAAGGCCCGCGGCGGAGCCCCUGCGGACGUUUCGGCGUCCGCUCGGACCCGCGGUGUCCCGGCCGACUCGCUCGACGGUAUACAGAUGGCGCGGGGCCGCUACUCAAACUAACGUUUAGCGUUCGGCCCGCGGCAAGCGCGUCCGGUGUUUUUGACGGCGAUCGGACCUAGCGCCGGUCCUGUCCCCGGACGACUGUUGGCCGCGGUGUUCUCGAACAGACCCCGAUCUUUCUCUCUGGAUAGACGCCGAUCUGCGACGCUAUAGCUUUGGGUACUUUCAGGACCCGUCUUGAAACACGGACCAAGGAGUCUAGCAUGUGCGCGAGUCAUUGGGACACGACUAAACCUAAAGGCGCAAUGAAAGUGAAGGUCCGCCUCGCGCGGACCGAGGGAGGAUGAGCGGUACACCGUCGCCGCAAGGUACGCGGCCGCUCCGCACUCCCGGGGCGUCUCGUUCUCAUCGCGAGAAGA
rnacentral:rRNA from 1 species